rnacentral:rRNA from 1 species
CAGUCGCCACGGUAAUACGAAGGGUGCAAGCGUUACUCGGAAUUACUGGGCGUAAAGCGUGCGUAGGUGGUGGUUUAAGUCCGUUGUGAAAGCCCUGGGCUCAACCUGGGAAUUGCAGUGGAUACUGGGUCACUAGAGUGUGGUAGAGGAUAGUGGAAUUUCCGGUGUAGCAGUGAAAUGCGUAGAGAUCGGAAGGAACAUCAGUGGCGAAGGCGACUAUCUGGGCCAACACUGACACUGAGGCACGAAAGCGUGGGGAGCAAACAGGAUUAGAUACCCGUGUAGUCCCUGUCUCUUAUAC